GUCCGAGUUUCGAAGUAUGCCGUUUGUUUUCAUAACAUAAUUUAUACGCCGCCAUUUCACGGUCGUGUCUGAUUGGUUGGUUGUUUUCUCGUUGUGGAAUGUGGGCGAAAAUUUCAAGUAUAAGUGGGCGGAAUUGAUUUUUAUUAAGGACGGUUGCAGGCACUUUAUAUUUCCUUCGCCUGUUUGUUUCUCGCCGUUUUUUUCUUCGCCCGUUUUUUUCUAACCCGCCAUUCAGUCAAUAAUCCUCAAAACCUCCAAUAAAAUAAAGCGACUGCUACGCAGGCUACGGGCGUUGUGGCGUAUUUUUCGGGCUAAAAUGAAUACAUUUGCAUGGCGG